UACGUAGGGAGCGAGCGUUAUCCGGAUUUAUUGGGUGUAAAGGGUGCGUAGGCUGUUUAUUAAGUCUGUGGUUUAAUCCCGAAGCUUAACUUCGGUUCGCCACAGAAACUGAUUUGCUUGAGUGUAGUAGAGGCAAGUGGAAUUUCUAGUGUAGCGGUUAAAUGCGUAGAUAUUAGAAGGAACACCAGUGGCGAAGGCGACUUGCUGGGCUAUUACUGACGCUGAGGCACGAAAGCGUGGGGAGCAAAUA
rnacentral:rRNA from 1 species